AUGCCAUUUGGCCUGUGCAACACCCCUGCAACUUUUCAUUGUCUCAUGAACACUGUAUUCGGGCGAUACGUUCGUAAGUUUAUCAUCAUAUUUCUCGAUGAUAUUCUUGUCUUCAGCACUGACCUGCAGGAACAUGAGGAGCACCUGCGGCUCACCUUGCAACUGCUCCGUGAACAUCAGCUUUUCGCCAAGGAAUCCAAGUGCUCAUUCGCGCAAACCAGCAUCGAGUACUUGGGGCACGUGAUCUCCAAGGACGGAGUCGCCACCGACACAACCAAGACCAGCGCCAUGCAGGCCUGGACCAUGCCCACGACGGCCACCGAGCUCCGCGGCUUCCUCGGCCUGACCGGCUACUACCAAAAUUUGUCCCUCACUAUGGCAUUAUCGCGAAGCCGCUGA
rnacentral:rRNA from 1 species